rnacentral:lncRNA from 1 species
GGAAGUUUAGAAGUUCUUAGGCUUGAAUCCGAGGUUGAUUCGGUGUUUUGGUAUUAUUUUGGGUGUUCCAAAGGUUCGACUAAGUUCGGGUAGUGAUAUAUGACUUGUGGAAAUUAUUGAGGUCCCGAGGGGCUCGGGUGAGUUUCGGAUAGAUUUGGGCUGCGUUGUGCUCGUUUUUCUUAUGUUUCGACGUCGUUUCUUCCAGCAUAAAUGGUACCACAUUAAGCAAAUGAGCUCCGAUUUCUGUUUUGAUUGAAGAAUUAGAUCUGUAUCGUAAUUACGGAGCCAUAGCAAAAACAAUCGUCGAAUUUGGGCAUCGUAUGAGGAAUUUAUGGUCAUUUUACUAAAAAUAUUGGGUUGCGAGAUUUUUCAAACUAAUUACGCAAUUGCCACUGAAUUCGUAAUUAAACAUCUACACUAUUUGCAAAUAUUGAAACCAACAUAUCGCAUUUAUUAUAAGGUCAAAUUGAGUGAUUCAAAAGCCUAACUUGACUAGAAUUUCACAAGGAAUCCAUUGAAGACAUCAAAAGCGAGUUUCGGGAUCGGUAGGCAUGAGAAACGAUGCAGAAUAGCUGGCAGAAAAAUAUAUAAAACGAGGGUUUGUUCAUUCGGUCAUAUUUUGAGUUGGGGAGCUCAGAUUUGGGCGAUUUUAGGGGCGAUUUUCACCAUAAGGAUUGGGGUAAGUAUUCUCUACUCCGUUUCGGUUAUAUUUCAUGAAUCCAUCUUCGUUUUUGGGAUUUGAUUGAUGAUUUUAAAGUGAAAUUGAGGGAGUUAGGGUUUGAGUUUUGGAGAGUUUAAGUGAGGAUUUGAGGGACCAAACGGAGUCCGAUUUUGAUGAAUUUUAUAUUGUUAGACUCGGGAGAGGACGAGGUUUAUUAUUCUGCUAUUUUUGACUGAUUUUGAGACAUGGGCCCGGGGGCCGGGUUUUGGCCGGUUUCGGAUUUUUGGCAUAUUCAUGUAGUUUUUAUUGUGGAAUUUGAUUUUUUAGACUAUGUUGAUAGUAGUAUUCUGAUUUUUUGUUAGAUUCGGAGCUUUUGGAGACCAAGUCUAGAGACGAGGGCAUCCUGGAGUAGGAUUUUACGCUGUUAAGGUAAGUAACAGUUUUAACUUUGGCUUUGAGGGUAUAAACCCGGAGAAUUUGAUAUCGUGUGACUGUUUGGAGGUGAUACCCACGCUAGGUGAUGGGCGUGUGGGUGUAUACCUCGAGGGAUUGAGACUUGCUCCGUCCCGUGAGGCCUCAUGACCAUCAUCUGUGUUUACGUAAUUACUUGUUGUUGAACUUGUCUGCCUUCAUGUUAGGGAUCAUGCUUAGGCUUUAUUCAUGCUCACAUUAAUUAUACUCAGUCAUAGAAAUUAUUAUACAUGUUUACCCCAGUCUCUAUUAUUUGCUAAUAUGCUGUGAUACUUGAUGUGGGUUGUGUCCCCUUAUUUGUUGAUGAUGGUGAGGCUAGUGAGGUACAUGAUUGAGUGAAGCCGAGGGCCUGGUUGUGAGGAUAUUAAUACCAUAGCGUGUGAAUUGUCCGUGUAGCAUGUGAGUUGACUGUGCGGGUCCAGGUAUUGAUACCAUAGCGCGUGAGUUAUCUGCGUAGCACGUGAGUUGACCGUGCGAAUCCAGGUAUUGAUAUGAUGGCACGUGAGUUGUCCGUGCUUAGCGCUUGGGCUUUGGGAGCCCCUCCGGAAUCUGUACACACCCCCAGUGAGUGCAGAGUGUUGAGCGUUGAGUGUUGAGUGCGAGUGCUGAGUGAUGGAGGGACAUGGCUGUGAGGUUGCAUUUACUUUUAUUGUUGCUGCAUUUACCUGUUAAUUUUCCUUGUAGUCUUACUGAUUUAUGAAAUUACCUGUCUACUCCUGUUUGUACUUAAUUGUGGAAAUAAUAAUUGGAUUAUUAUGCUUAGCUCGUCACUACUUCUCAGUUCCUUAGUUAUUUCUUUUACUAUUGAGUCGGUUGUACUCAUACUACACCCUGCACUUUAUGUGCACCAGGUGAUUUAGAAGGCGGCGAUCGUUGAGUUCAGGCUGGCUAUCUUUGGAGACUGCAAGGUAGUUGUUAGCGUCCGCAGGACCUUGUUACUCUUCUUGUCAUUUCUUCUUUUGGACAGCUAGACAGUUUAUAUAUCUUAGUUCAUAGUUUUAGAUGCUCAUGACUUAGUGACAUCCCGAUGUUUGGGGCUCGUUUUCGUAUUUUCUAUAUUAUAUUUAGAGUUGAUUUAGUUUAUGAGAAAUUCAAAUGUUGAUAUUGUUUUAUUAAAUUCUUAUAAUCGAUUUAGUAGUAAUAUUUUGGGAAAUAGGCUUGCAUUGUAACACGAUAGGCGCCAUCACGAUCAUGGUUAGAUUUUGGAUUGUGACAGCCAUUGAAAAGGAAUAUAUAUUAUAAAUAAAACAAGUUCGACAGAAUUAUUAUAUACGAUAUGUAGUGAUUGUUGCGUACACCCUUUCACAGAACCUAUAUAAAAAGGCCC